CCGUGCUGCGCGCGAGGGUGAGAGUGGAGCCUCCUUCCUCCUCCCCCCUCCCCAGUGCUCCACAGCUCCGUGUGAGACCUCCCGGUUUCCCCGCCUCCUCGGUGGUUGGAGCGCGUGCAGCAGCGGCAGCAGCAUCCGCGUGGAGCUGACGAGAGACCGGCUGGUCAGCGGAGCCACGCCGAAGCUUCUCUAAACAUUUACAUAAUUAUUACUUACUUAUGUUUUGUUCAUUUGGGGUUUAAAUUAAUCGAUCCUGCUUUGGCCCAAGAGUUUUCCUGAAGGAAGAAAUCGAUGUUUCAUUUGAAAACAAAAUUUAACCGAGGAAUGAAACGUGUUGAGGGUGAUUUUUAUGUCUUCCCAAAGAGAGAAAAGUAAGUCCACGCAACAAAGAAUCUGUAUCUGCUGCUGUUGUCACUGAAACCUCACAUUUAAUUAGUUUUAGUUGUGGGUUGCUUAUCAGAUUCCUCUUGUUUUUAUCAUCUUAACUGCACUUUCAUCAGACAUAACAUCUUUUAAAAUCCUUUAACAAUAGGAGUGCUGAACAAAUCUAUGUGCUUAUGCCAAAAACAAAAGCUCUGUGUGUAAAACCACAGAGGACCUGAUGAUGGGAGUGGCCUGGUUUCAUCUUGCAGAUGAUAAUAGAAGAAAACUUUCAGCACAUUUGUUAGGAUGGUGAACUUAUAGUUUCCAGCAGUCGAAAUGAUGAAUAAAGCUAUUUAAAGCAAAUAAAAUAACUAAAACUUAUGUCUGUGAAACAUAAAAUAACUGAUAUGUUCUCAUCAUUUAC
rnacentral:lncRNA from 1 species